UGCCAUGAUGUUCAAUGAUGCA
rnacentral:siRNA from 1 species